rnacentral:rRNA from 1 species
AGUGAACGCUGGCGGUAGGCCUAACACAUGCAAGUCGAACGGCAGCACAGGAGAGCUUGCUCUCUGGGUGGCGAGUGGCGGACGGGUGAGGAAUGCAUCGGAAUCUACUCUAUCGUGGGGGAUAACGUAGGGAAACUUACGCUAAUACCGCAUACGACCUACGGGUGAAAGCAGGGGAUCUUCAGACCUUGCGCGAUUGAAUGACCCGAUGCCCGAUUAGCUAGUUGGCGGGGUAAGAGCCCACCAGGGCGACUAUCGGUAGCUGGUCUGAGAGGAUGAUCAGCCACACUGGAACUGAGACACGGUCCACACUCCUACGGGAGGCAGCAGUGGGGAAUAUUGGACAAUGGGCGCAAGCCUGAUCCAGCCAUACCGCGUGGGUGAAGAAGGCCUUCGGGUUGUAAAGCCCUUUUGUUGGGAAAGAAAAGCAGCCGGUUAAUACCCGGUUGUUCUGACGGUACCCAAAGAAUAAGCACCGGCUAACUUCGUGCCAGCAGCCGCGGUAAUACGAAGGGUGCAAGCGUUACUCGGAAUUACUGGGCGUAAAGCGUGCGUAGGUGGUUGUUUAAGUCUGUUGUGAAAGCCCUGGGCUCAACCUGGGAAUUGCAGUGGAAACUGGGCGACUAGAGUGUGGCAGAGGGUAGUGGAAUUCCCU